AGGACUUAGCUAACUCUGUGAACA
rnacentral:miRNA from 2 species